rnacentral:rRNA from 1 species
AGAUGGCGACCGGCGCACGGGUGAGUAACACGUAUCCAACCUGCCGAUAACUCGGGGAUAGCCUUUCGAAAGAAAAGAUUAAUACCCGAUGGCAUAAUUAGACCGCAUGGUCUUAUUAUUAAAGAAUUCGGUUAUCGAUGGGGAUGCGUUCCAUUAGGCAGUUGGUGAGGUAACGGCUCACCAACCUUCGAUGGAUAGGGGUUCUGAGAGGAAGGUCCCCCACAUUGGAACUGAGACACGGUCCAA